AUUGAACGCUGGCGGCAGGCCUAACACAUGCAAGUCGAACGAGUGGCGGACGGGUGAGUAAUGUCUGGGAAACUGCCCGAUGGAGGGGGAUAACUACUGGAAACGGUAGCUAAUACCGCAUACCAUCGGAUGUGCCCAGAUGGGAUUAGCUUGUAGGUGAGGUAACGGCUCAACUAGGCGACGAUCCCUAGCUGGUCUGAGAGGAUGACCAGCAACAUUGAAAUGUGUACACGGUCCGUACUCCUACGGGACGCAGAAGUGGGGAAGAUGGCACAAUGGGCGCAAGCCUGUUGCAGUCAGGCCGCGUGUACGAAGAAGGCCAGCGGGUUGUAAAGUACUUUCAGCGGGGAGGCGUUACCCUCAGAAGAAGCACCGGCUAACUCCGUGCCAGCAGCCGCGUUAAUUC
rnacentral:rRNA from 1 species